rnacentral:rRNA from 1 species
GACGAACGCUGGCGGCGUGCUUAACACAUGCAAGUCGAACGGAAAGGCCCUGCUUGCAGGGUACUCGAGUGUCGAACGGGUGAGUAACACGUGGGUGAUCUGCCCUGCACUUCGGGAUAAGCCUGGGAAACUGGGUCUAAUACCGGAUAGGAGCCAUUUUUAGUGUGAUGGUUGGAAAGUUUUUUCGGUGUAGGAUGAGCUCGCGGCCUAUCAGCUUGUUGGUGGGGUAAUGGCCUACCAAGGCGGCGGCGGGUAGCCGGCCUGGGAGGGUGGACGGCCACAUUGGGACUGGGAUACGGCCCAGACGCCUACGGGGGGCAGCAGGGGGGGAUAUUGCACAAUGGGCGCGAGCCUGAUGCAGCGACGCCGGGUGGGGGGUGACGGCCUUCGGGUUGUAAACUCCUUUCGCUAGGGACGAAGCUGUUUGUGACGGUACCUAGAUAAGAAGCACCGGCUAACUACGUG